AUUGAACGCUGGCGGCAGGCUUAACACAUGCAAGUCGAGCGGAGAUGAGGUGCUUGCACCUUAUCUUAGCGGCGGACGGGUGAGUAAUGCUUAGGAAUCUGCCAUUUAGUGGGGGACAACAUUCCGAAAGGAAUGCUAAUACCGCAUACGUCCUACGGGAGAAAGCAGGGGAUCUUCGGACCUUGCGCUAAACGAUGAGCCUAAGUCGGAUUAGCUAGUUGGUGGGGUAAAGGCCUACCAAGGCGACGAUCUGUAGCGGGUCUGAGAGGAUGAUCCGCCACACUGGGACUGAGACACGGCCCAGACUCCUACGGGAGGCAGCAGUGGGGAAUAUUGGACAAUGGGGGGAACCCUGAUCCAGCCAUGCCGCGUGUGUGAAGAAGGCCUUAUGGUUGUAAAGCACUUUAAGCGAGGAGGAGGCUACUGAGACUAAUACUCUUGGAUAGUGGACGUUACUCGCAGAAUAAGCACCGGCUAACUCUGUGCCAGCCGCCGCCGUAAUAC
rnacentral:rRNA from 1 species